UGCAUUCACUACUGUAAGUCGCUCUGGAUAAGAGCGUCUGCUAAAUACACUAAA
rfam:Salmo salar isolate Sally breed double haploid chromosome ssa10, whole genome shotgun sequence.